CAGUCGUACCUGCGGACAAUCAGCUUUUUGAGUGUGAUUAUGUGGAUUGUGAGGAGUUUAAUCACCCUCAUGUUUUACGUAUUCGUGCUCGUGGGUGUACUUGCCCGUGUGGUAGGUUAACAUCAAUUUUGGUCGUCAUAAAAUGACUGGAGGAAUGUAGCUUUGGUCUCGUAUCGAAGUGUUAUAGACUCUGGUAGAUGUGACGAUUGGGAUUGGAGGAUUGCAACGGAUACCCGUUCGGGGCUACUCGUCUGAUCUCUGAAGGUGCUCCGGUGACGGAAGCGUGCUUACGGUCGUACGAAAGUGUAUUUACGAAAAGGUUAGAACGGGUUAAAUUCGGUUAAGGAUU
rnacentral:rRNA from 1 species